AUGUUCUCGUCUCAGUCCCUCAGCCGCGUCAACAACAUUAGGACUGCGCUCAUCAACGCGCAGAAGGGCAACCAAUCGGUCGCCUCCUACUUCGCCUCCCUGCGCGGCCUUGCCGAUGAACUCGCCGCCACCGGAAAACCAAUCCAGGACGACGAGUUGAUCUCGUACAUCCUCCAUGGCCUCGACGUCGACUACCAGCCGCUUGUCUCUGCACUCGACGCCCGCGUCACACCCGUCACCCUCGAGCUCUUUGCCAUGCCGAGUAACUUUGAUCAGCGCAUGGCACAGUUCAACGGCUCCUCCGGC
rnacentral:rRNA from 1 species